CCUACGGGAGGCUGCAGUGGGGAAUAUUGGGCAAUGGGCGCAAGCCUGACCCAGCAACGCCGCGUGAAGGAAGAAGGCUUUCGGGUUGUAAACUUCUUUUAUCAGGGACGAAGCAAGUGACGGUACCUGAUGAAUAAGCCACGGCUAACUACGUGCCAGCAGCCGCGGUAAUACGUAGGUGGCAAGCGUUAUCCGGAUUUACUGGGUGUAAAGGGCGUGUAGGCGGGAGUGCAAGUCAGAUGUGAAAACUAUGGGCUCAACCCAUAGCCUGCAUUUGAAACUGUACUUCUUGAGUGCUGGAGAGGCAAUCGGAAUUCCGUGUGUAGCGGUGAAAUGCUUAGAUAUUGCGCAGAACUCCGAUUGCGAAGGCAGCAUACCGGCGGCGAUCUGACGCUGAGGCACGAAAGCGUGGGUAUCGAACAGGAUUAGAUACCCGUGUAGUC
rnacentral:rRNA from 1 species